rnacentral:rRNA from 1 species
GCUCCAAUAGCGUAUAUUAAAGUUGUUGCGGUUAAAAAGCUCGUAGUUGGAUUUCUGUUGAGGAGGUCCGGUCCGCAUCUUAGUGCGUGUAUCUGGUUCCGCCUUGGCAUCUUCUUGUGGAACGCGUUGCGAUUGAUUUCGUGACCGGUACAUAAGACAUUUACUUUGAGGAAAUUAGAGUGUUUCAGGCAGCUUGCGCC